rnacentral:lncRNA from 1 species
UCAAAGGGUCCAGCUGAAGUAAGGACAAGGGAUAAAUUUGGGUUCCAUGAAGACAACAAAUUCGAGAACCUUAACUUCAAUAUGUUGAACUUGGACUCCAAGAUCGGAGAUAGAGUAAGCAAAAGUACCUUCCGAAAUGGUAUUUACAACACCGAUGCUGUUUACCAGAAAAAUAACAGCCACAACAUUGGGAACCUGUCUGCCAACAAAUAUAGCGGCAACAACCAUAGCAACAAAGAUAUUAAUAAUAACCGCAACACCAACUCCAACAACAACGAGAACAGCAAUGCAAACAAUGCUGUCGAUAAAAGGUUCAAGACUUUGCCUGCCACCGAGACACUCCCUAGAAAUGAGGUGCUUGGUGGAUACAUCUUUGUUUGCAAUAAUGACACAAUGCAAGAAGAUCUU